UACGUAGGGUGCAAGCGUUAAUCGGAAUUACUGGGCGUAAAGCGUGCGCAGGCGGUGAUGUAAGUCAGGUGUGAAAUCCCCGGGCUUAACCUGGGAACUGCAUUUGUGACUGCAUUGCUGGAGUGCGGCAGAGGGGGAUGGAAUUCCGCGUGUAGCAGUGAAAUGCGUAGAUAUGCGGAGGAACACCGAUGGCGAAGGCAAUCCCCUGGGCCUGCACUGACGCUCAUGCACGAAAGCGUGGGGAGCAAACAGG
rnacentral:rRNA from 1 species